rnacentral:rRNA from 1 species
AUGAUCACGGGCUCGGGCGUGUACCACGUCGUGGAGACGAUGGCGCCGCUGUACACGGCGGCGGCGCUGGGCUACGCGUCGGUGCGCUGGCUCAAGGCCUUCUCCGAGGAGCAGUGCGCGGGGAUCAACCACUUCGUCGCCACCUACGCCCUGCCGGCGCUCGUCUUCGACAUGGUCUCCACCAACGACCCCUACGCCAUGAACGUCCGCCUCGUGGCCGCCGACACGCUGCAGAAGGGGGCCAUGCUGCUAGGCCUCAUGGCGUGGGCCGCGUGGCCCUCAUCCCGCUGCCGCGGCGAGAAACCGGGCGGGGGCGGCGGCGGCGGCUGCAACGUUGCGGUCUCCCCGCUGCAGUGGGUGGUGACCGCCUUCUCCGUGGCGCAGCUGCCCAGCACCAUCAUCAUGGGCGUGCCGCUCCUCGGCGGCAUGUACGGGCCCGCGUCCAAGGACCUCAUGAAGCAGAUCGUCGUGAUGCAGUUCUGCCUCUGGUACAACGUCGUCAUCUUCAUGUACGAGUACAUGGCGGCGACGGACGGCAGCACCAAGGCCGGCCCCGGGUCGCCGGAGAAACGCGCCAUUGCGGCAGUUGAGCGAGCCCACCAAGUAACCGUGAACGUUGAAAGCACGGAGCACACCAGACAACAAGGCAUGGCCGUGGCUGGCCAGCAGGCGGCGGCGGCGCUCACGACGGAGGUGUGUGCUGGUGAAGAUGAUGAGGGCGCGGAGGCAGAGGAUGACUCGCUGCCGGCGUCUCCAUCGAUGAGGCAUAUCGCUUUCAUGACAGGGAAAAAGGUUCUCAGGAUUCCGAAUACCUAUGCUAGCUUCCUUGGCCUCGUCUGGGCUCUAAUCACUUUCAAGUGUGGUAUCAAGAUGCCAAAAAUAAUCCUCGAUUCUUUGUUAACCAUACAAACUACAACAAUUGGUCUAAGCAUGUUCUCAUCAGGGACGCUCAUGGCGCCACAACCACAGUUCAUUCCUUGCGGCUACGCGAUCGCAAUGGUUUCAUUGGUCCUGAAGUUUCUGAUAGGUCCGGUGGCAAUAUUGCUCGCUUCGCUGGUCGUUGGUAUGCACGGCACCCUGCUAUGCAUUGCUGUUGUACAGGCGGCACUGCCAUUGGUCGUCGCUUCAUUUGUGUAUGCUGAAGAGUACAAGGUCCAUGCAGACAUCAUGAGCACAGGGUAA